rnacentral:tRNA from 1 species
GUCUUUGUAGCUAAGUGGCAGAGCACUGGUCUGGUAAACCAGGGGUCGUGAGUUCAAACCUCACAGGAGUCA